UACGGAGGGUGCAAGCGUUAUCCGGAUUCACUGGGUUUAAAGGGUGCGUAGGUGGGCAGGUAAGUCAGUGGUGAAAUCUCCGGGCUUAACCCGGAAACUGCCAUUGAUACUAUCAGUCUUGAAUACCGUGGAGGUAAGCGGAAUAUGUCAUGUAGCGGUGAAAUGCUUAGAUAUGACAUAGAACACCAAUUGCGAAGGCAGCUUACUACCCGAAUAUUGACACUGAGGCACGAAGGCGUGGGGAUCAAACAGG
rnacentral:rRNA from 1 species